UUAGCCCAAAAAACAGCAUGAAAGGCCGUAUACGCUUCUCUUUAAGUUUUUCUAGAGCUUUCGCUUUACGGAUGAAGGCUUAAGGAAAGACUCUCAAAAGCAUUUGAGAUAAGUCCGAACGCUUCAACUUUCUGUUGCAACAAUUUUCAAUUGAGUUGGGUUUAUCAUUGAAGAGAAUGGUUUUGUAAGCUCAAAUUACCUGGCGUGGAAGACAAGGUGGAUGCAUCAAAAUAUUGUCAGAUUACUUUCUGGGUAGUGAUUUUGACUCGAAUGAGAUUGAAUAACUGCAUGCGUAUACGUAAUUCCCAGAAAUGUGUUUGUUAAAUUUCGGAAGUGCUUUUCAAGAUUUCUCUUUGUGGACGAAGGUGCCUGGAAAGCAAAAGGAGGAGGGAACAACAUCUCUCUUUUUCAGUCUUAAUCAACUUUGCCCACUAAAAGCAACAAGCCUUAGCUGCUUUCUACUUGUUAAGUCACUUUCUUUUUCUCUUUUCGGUGUUUCCUCUUCAACCGACUUUGCCCGCUAAAGCAAGCCUUUACUCACUUCACCCUUCCUUGAAUUCCCAUAAGCAAUAUGAUAUGUUUUUUUUGCUGUCUUGAAUCUGAAUAUUUUAUGAGCACCAGAAUUAUGUAGGCUUCUUCAACAAAGUCUGCUCCAAAGAACAAUGGCGUUUCGAAGGUACAAAGACCUAUACCCUUUGGGUUGGAGAACAAGAAAGGGUUAGGGUUAGUGAUUUUGUCACCCACGAGAAGAAAAGAUCCACCACUUUUCCUUUUGACCGGCAAGGCAAUUGAAGAGAGGAAGUGGAUAUACAGGUCAAGGGACUUCAGCAUUCGACCAACCAAUCCAAAACAGGACAGAGUUCACCAGGAAACUGGGGCUUGGGAAAGUUGUUGAGGUGCACCAGGAAGAAUGUAUACGGAUGCAAGAUCAUCUCAGGGAUUUGGGUAGGGAGAUUGCUAAGACACAUUCACCAUCCCGAAUCUGGUCUGAGAGGCAGAGUAUGAACACUCAGGAACGCAUCCAACAUCUACAGUUUUAUAGAAUGCAAUCUAUUUAGGCUUACUUCUAUCCCAUUCCCUUUGCACUCUUUGCACCAACCUUCUUGCUCUGCAUUAAUCAAUGGCAUCCUCAUCCUUAUCUUACCGAUGAAAUGAGGAACACGAUGCUUUGUCAGGAAUUAAGCUUCAGGCAAAUGGAGGAAGGUAGAGGAAUCUUCAAGAUUGUUUGAUAUGUUCAUCAACCACAAGGCCUUGAUGUCAAACAAAUUGUAACCCUUCAGCUUUACAAUUCUCUUACGGAGUUGGGAAUCCAUGCAUUUCUCGAUUCCAAAGAAAAAGAAGUCGGUGAUUCAUUUCCAUCAACCAUUGAGAAUGCCAUCCACUCUCCUUCAGCUCAUAUCGAUAUCUUCAUUGAUGGAUAUGCAGAGUCUCCAUGGUGUUAUGCAGAGCUGGUUCUCAUGUUACAAGGUAUGCCAAGGUCCAUAUACCUCCUCUUCUCUUCAUAUGUAAUGAACGCCUUGGCAUACUUUCUUUCUUUUUUCUAUGUGACGAAGAGCAGAAGGCUCCACUCUAUAAAACAAUGAAAUGAUCUUAGCUGUACUUUGUAACAUGAGAACCAGCUCGGCCAAAACACCAUGGGGCUGCAUAUCCAUCGGAAAAGAUAGUGAUAUGAGCCAAAGCAGAGUGGAUGACAUUCUUAAUGGUUGAAGGAAAUGAACCACUGAGUUCUUUCUCUUCCGAAUCAAGAAAUGCAUGGAUUCCCAACUCCAUAAGAGAAUUGUAAAGCAGAAGGGCUACAGUUUGUUUGACAUUAGGGCCCAUGGGAUUGACAAACACAUCAAACAAUCUUAAAAAAUCCUCUACUUUCCUCCCUUUGUCUUAGGCUCAAUUCUCGAGAAAGCAUCUUGUUGCUCAUUUCUUCUGUAAGAUGAGGACGAGGAUGCCAUUGAUUAACGCAAAACAGUAGUGAGAAAAAUGUUGUUGGUGCAGGGAAGGGCAGAAGGAACUGGAUCGGAGUAAGCAUAAAGAGACUUUUAAAAUGAGUGAGAUCUUGGCCUCAGAAGAAGGUAUAUGGCUGGAGCAACAGGAAAAGAAGUAUGCUGAUGUGAGAAAAAGCAGCAGAAGUUAAUGUUCUGUAGCAGGCAGAGAACAAAUAAAGAACAGAGCAUUUUGUAAGAGAACAGGGCAUAAGAAGCUGUGAUUAUCUUGUUGCAGCCAGUGAAUGUAAUGGCUAGUAGCUCUAUGUCUUUGGAUCAUAAACUAGUCUUUGUAUGAGUCGGAAAUAUAUAAAAAUAUAUUUACUAUCUGAUUACUAAAAAUCUGCUCUGUCUUGUUACUUGUUUCCCCUACCUUUUGACAUCCGUAGUAUCAGAGCUGUGAAAAGGUAUGAAUUUGAAUGUAAUGGUAGUUGCAUAAGAGCUCAAUAUAAAUUACUAUGUUUGUUUUGUUCUGUCUUAUUGCUACUCCCUGUGUUCCAUCAUCUGGUAUCAGAACCUGGAGAUCAGGGCAGAGCUGUUAGAAGUUGAGUCAGUGUCAACAGUCUAAAUGUUAGAGCUGUAAAAUGUUAUGAAAUUUGAGUGUAAGAAGCAGUCUGUAAUGUUGUGAGUCUAAAUGUAAUUAUGUUUUUAUGAAAUGAGAAGAAGCUCUGAUGUAAUGUUUCAAUCUGUUUAAUAUAAUUUCUAAAUGUGUUGUUUUUCUCUCCCCUUAAUCCUUCAUGGAAGGCACCUGGUAUAUACAGUUUGCGGGGCACGGAGAGAUUGCGGAUGGUGGAGCUGAAAGCAGAAUCCCUAACAGCUUUUGAAACUUGCAUUCAAAGUAUAAAGAUCGAGAAGUGGCCUUCGGAAAUGAAAAUAUGUGGAAGGAUCUUUCGUCGUGUUCAUUCAGUUUUGGAUUCAUUCCGAUUUCCUGGAUUUCACUUGGCUUACACAUAUGACGAUGCAAUGAGAUGGUUGUCUUUGAUAUGCCAGGAGACAAAUUUGUCCAAUAAGGCUCUGGUAUGUUUUCAUGUCCAUUCCUCGUAUAGCAAUGGAGAAUGGUUAAUCAUAAGUUUCUUGACAGAAAUUUCCCCCCUUCGAACAUCAAUGAAUCAGCUGACCGGUGAGCUUGUAACUUUUCGUGAUUGGUUUAUGGUUGGAGAGAGAGGCAGCGUUAUUCAAGGAUUUAAACAAAACUUCCAAACUCUUUGCAAGGCCUCAUCUAUCAGCUGAUAUUAUUGUUAUUCAGUCUGGAAAUUUUAGUAUUAAUAUUAUACUUUUAUUUUCAUUUAAUUAACAAAACUAAAGUGUUAUUUAUUGUAUAUUUGUGUAUGUUAAAUGGAUAUAAAUGAUAUGUUACAACAUAA